rnacentral:rRNA from 1 species
UACGUAGGGGGCAAGCGUUGUCCGGAAUCAUUGGGCGUAAAGCGCGCGUAGGCGGCCCGGUAAGUCCGUUGUGAAAGUCAAAGGCUCAACCUUUGAACGCCGAUGGAUACUGCCGGGCUAGAGUCCGGAAGAGGCGAGUGGAAUUCCUGGUGUAGCGGUGGAAUGCGCAGAUAUCAGGAGGAACACCAAUAGCGAAGGCAGCUCGCUGGGACGUUACUGACACUGAGGCGCGAAAGCGUGGGGAGCGAACAGG